rnacentral:rRNA from 1 species
GACGAACGCUGGCGGCGUGCUUAACACAUGCAAGUCGAGCGAUGAAGCUCCUUCGGGAGUGGAUUAGCGGCGGACGGGUGAGUAACACGUGGGUAACCUGCCUCAUAGAGGGGAAUAGCCUUUCGAAAGGAAAAUUAAUACCGCAUAAGAUUGUAGCUUCGCAUGAAGCAGCAAUUAAAGGAGUAAUCCGCUAUGAGAUGGACCCGCGUCGCAUGAGCUAGUUGGUGAGGUAACGGCUCACCAAGACGACGAUGCGUAGCCGAACUGAGAGGGUGAUCGGCCACAUUGGGACUGAGACACGGCCCAGACUCCUACGGGAGGCAGCAGUGGGGAAUAUUGCACAAUGGGGGAAACCCUGAUGCAGCAACGCCGCGUGAGUGAUGACGGUCUUCGGAUUGUAAAGCUCUGUCUUCAGGGACGAUAAUGACGGUACCUGAGGAGGAAGCCACGGCUAACUACGUGCCAGCAGCAGCCGCCG